rnacentral:rRNA from 1 species
AGCAGCCGCGGUAAUUCCAGCUCCAAUAGCGUAUAUUAAAGUUGUUGCAGUUAAAAAGCUCGUAGUUGAAUUUCGGGGUCAGUAGGUUGGUCAUGCCUCCGGUAUGUACUGGUCUCACUGAUUCCUCCUUCCUGAUGAGCCGUAAUGCCAUUAAUUUGGUGUUGCGGGGAAUCUGGACUGUUACUUUGAAAAAAUUAGAGUGUUUAAAGCAAGCUAACGCUUGAAUACAUUAGCAUGGAAUAAUGGGAUAGGACGUUCGAUCCUAUUUUGUUGGUUUCUAGGAUUGACGUAAUGAUUAAUAGGGAUAGUUGGGGGCAUUAGUAUUCAAUUGUCAGAGGUGAAAUUCUUGGAUUUAUUGAAGACUAACUACUGCGAAAGCAUUUGCCAAGGAUGUUUUCAUUAAUCAAGAACGAAAGUUAGGGGAUCGAAGACGAUCAGAUACCGCCGUAG